rnacentral:lncRNA from 1 species
UCUUAGUUGACCUAGAAUGAGACCAAAAUCUGACCCUGGUUCCUAAACGAUUAGCUGACCUGCUUGUCCUAAGUACCCAGAAUAAAAUGCUGAUGAACCAAACUCCGGUUAAGAGGCUCUCCUUCCCCCUGACGCUGGAGCUGCUGGCCCGCCCCCAUCCUGGGCCAGCAGCCAGCCUUCCUCAGCAGGGCCCCCUGGAAAGGAGGCUUUAGGAGAAGACGUGCUCUGCUCCACUGCCUGCUCACACCAGCCUUUCUUCCCAGUUCCUACACUUUUCCUUCUACUUCCACAAUUCUUUCUAGCCUUGACUUCCCUGUGCAAAAGAAAACCUCUCUUUUUUUAAAAAAUAAAUCUUGAGACAUUCAGUUUUAUGAUCAGAGAAUGCAUCACCAUUGCAAUAAUCCCCCUCCCUCUGCAGUCCUUUGUCCACGUGGCAACAAUCCUUCCGGAUAAAGCCUCUUCUUACUAAGUCCAGGUUUAUUUUGCUUUUCUUCUGUUUAUUUGAAAGUUCUCUUAUUGUUUCAGCUUAGCUUAAAUAUAUAAAUUAUGACAUCUUGACUCAAGCAUCUCUUAAAAUGCAAAUUCUAUUUUUGAAGGGUUGGAUGACUCUUUGCUAAUACAUAUGACAGAGAGAUUAUACAUUUCUGAGAUUUAUGCAUGUAAUAAAACUUUAAUCAUCCUUGCACAUUUCAAGAGAGCUCAAGUAUGCUCUCUUCCAAACAUUCCAAACCCAAAAUCAAAUUUGAGAGAGGGAAAAAAGAUGCAUAGAAUUAUACAGCUCAAAGACUCCUUAUAACUCAAGAAUUCUAAAUUCAUCAUUUUAUAGAUGAGAUAAUAUGAGAGUACAAAGGUGAACUGUGUCACUCAAAAUAAUGUAUCUAGCAAGAAGUGGAAUACUGGUGAAGAUAUUGAGAAUAUAAGCAAAAAUUAUUAGGUAUCACGCCUGCUUCUAAAAAAAUGACCUUCUGAAAGAACCUCUUAGACAUAUUCAACGAACCUCAGAGUUCUCAUUCCUUUUUUCAUACUUUGUAGUGAAGUACAAAAUACAUUCAGACAAGUCCACAUAUCAGAAUUGUAUCAGCUAGCUGAAGGUUCACAGACUGAACACACCUGUGCAAAUAACAUCCUUUCAAUCCAAAGUGUGUUCUUCAUUUUAAAGCCAAGCCUUGAAAUCUUAAAGCCUCCAGAAAAGCAAGGGAACAUUAUUUGAUUGUGGGCUGUGGCAUUAAACAAGCUUAUGUUUGAACUGGGAUGUGCCUGUGUAACCUUGGACUAUUUAACACUGGAAUGCUGAUGAACCUUUCAAAACUCAGUGUAGCUGUUUUUAAAAGAGGUUGUCACCCCUCCACCGACUCCUUGGGAGGUAAAGGGAGAUGGUGGGAAACGUGGAACACAAGCUUAGCAUAUAGGAGAUGCUUUGAAAAAUCCAUAGUUAUUCGUCUUGGUCAAAGGACCCUCCGAAUCAGCUGAAGAAUGAAUUGAGACCCGAAAAUAACCUCUCAUGCCCUCUCUCUUUGUACCCCUCACUCCUAGGAAUGUUCUUUCAUCAGCUUUGGUCCCUGCCCAGCCCCUGGGCAGCCAACGUCUAACAGAGAGAAGUAACAUAAUGGUAUUACUUGUCCCAUCCACAUUGGUGAUUUCUAACCUUGGCUAUGGAUUCAGCCCUACUCAGUAAUCUCAUUUAUCCCUAAUUGGCUUCUUUCCCCGUUUUUGACGGAGCCAAUUAUUUCCCUUUUACUCCCCUCAAACCUUCAUCUUCUUUCAGCCCCUUUACACACAUGUGGAUGGUCUCGCUUCACAGGCAACUAAGAUCAACACUGGCAGCUCUUUGAAUUCCUUGGGCUCCUCCUGGUCGCAUCUGCUUGAUGCCCUAGAUCUUUUCUCAGGCUCUCCGUCCUCGGCACCUGCUCGCUUGUCCCGAAUCAUCUUUUGAAUCCACAUGAUUGUGUUUUGCAGUCCUUUCCUUUAAUUAACCCUGCGAGGGUCCGAUGACUCACCGAUUCCUACAUUCAAUGUGUGAUGCUCCUCCAGUUUGACCCGACCCAGAACCACCUGCCUCUCCUUCUGACUUUUCUUUUUCUUCUUUUCAUGGGAUAGAUGUAACCAUAUGAAAUGAAACCCAGAAUGGUUGGUGAAAAAAGUGGGGGCACUUUUUAACAAGAAAGGAAGUUUGGAAUAGUCCCUAUAAACAUUCAAUAACUACUCUUUAACGGAUGAUCACAUAGUUGUGUGUUUCACUUGUCUACAUAAAUAUUAGAUGUAAGAAAGAGUCUGGCGUUGUGUGUUUAUUUGAAUAAAAAUAUACGGUGCUGAGGCAGGUGCUAUGAGAGCUCUUUGGAAUUUUGAAGUCACUGCUGAGUGAUCUGAGGGUAGAAAGAAAUUCGCUGUUUUGACUCCACAGAUGUUGCAAAAGCAGAGUAUUUUCUUGUUGUUGUACAACUUCAGAGUGACAGUUGAUAAAAGUACCACUGGGCUCUGUGGCUCCUGUUAUUCCUCUUAUUUUUAUUUUUUUAGUUGUCAUACUAGGUGUGAAAUAUCUCUUUCCAACAGUUAAGACAACAAUCAGAGAAUGUAACACUGAAAGUGUUCAAACGUUAUAAAAUCGUGAUUAAGAAUUUAAUUUUUCAAAUUGAUGCAGGAAACAUGCUGAGCAUGCUUCUAUGAUAUACAUAGGAAGAGUCAGUCAUUUGUCUGUGACGCCAGUGUGAGCAGAUAAGGGUAAUGAGACCGUGUCAAGGAAAGCAUGGUGUUGGGGGGGGGACUGAUGGAAUGGUGAGAGGUACACAGUCCUGGAAACUUGAGAAGGUAGCCAACUGUCUGAGAUCCCUGACACUCACAGAUCAUAUGCGCAGUGUCUCUCCAAAAAGAGCGGAGCAGCGAAAUUAGAAACUCAUAAGUCGUCUGAGCACAAGGCAUCUGAAAAGCCAAACUUGGACAUUUGAUGUAAGAACACAGGAAAGUUAUGGCUGUUCCCCAUGACAAGGAGCCAUUCUUUUCUCUCUUUAUAAAUAUCUUGCGUUUGAAAUCCUGCUUGGCUUUGAACCCCACAAAUAAGAAUGGUGUGCAACUGACAGAUGUAGAAUACGUUUUGUUCUGUGUUAUCAGCAGCUUUUCAAAAUGUUGCAAUAUAUGUAAUUUAAAACAAAUCAUUCGCUCAUGACUAUAAUUGCCGUAAAAGAAACACUUUAAAUAUAAAACCUUGUAUAUGUUUUGAUACAAUGAGUGUGUUUUUAAAAACAUAGUCAUAGGGAACUUGUUCGAUCCUCUGUCACCCCAGAGGCCAGUAUUUGAGGCGAUAAAAACAAAAUUUCAAGGAGAAAGAGACAGGACCAAUCAAAGAAUUUGUCAUUGUCACUGGGACAUUGAAGAAGGGUUUUUCAUGUUUGAGGUGAUAUCGAGUCAGAUGCCCUUCAAGUUCAUCUCAACACUACACAAUUUACAGUAAUUAUAACCUACAUUUAUAAUCCAGAAAGAUGUAAUAGAGAAUUAGGAGUAAAAAUAUGUGGGGAUAUUUACGUAGCAUAUGGAUGCAUCAGCUAAAGGUUUAAUCCCUAAAUUACCUUGUUUUGUUUAAAACUAGCAUAAUUUGGAGUUUCCUUGUGGCACAGCAGGUUAAGGAUCCAGCAUUGUCACUGCUGUGGCUUGGGUUGCUACUGUUGGCCCAGGAAGAUUCCUGGCCCGGAACAUCCACAUGCCAUGGGCACAGCCAAAAAUAAAAAUAACAUAAUUAGGAGUCCCUACUAUGGCACAGCGAGUUAGGAAUCUGCCUGCAGUGGCUUGGGUCACUGCAGAGACGUGGGUUCGGGUUCGAUUCCUGACAUCUCGCAGCAGGUUAAGGAUCCAGCAUUACUGCAUUACAGCUCCCAUUCGCCCCCUGGCCUGGGAAUGUCCAUAUGCUGCAGGCAUGGCCAUAAAAAAAAAAAAAAAAAGAAUACUCUAGGAAUACUCUCAGAUGCUCAGAAAGAUAAAUUGCAAAUAACUUCAUUGCCCAUUCUACAAGCAUCCUAAGAAUUCAUCAAUAAUAAUUAAAGGAAAUGGUGCUUUUAGAUCCCAUGCUGAAGAAUAUCAUUUAUUCCUAGAUAACUAAAAUAUAACAAUUUAAAACUAUUUCUCUAGUUUCAAGAAGUCUUACUACUUGAAUUUCACUAUCCUGUUCCAUGCUGAAUAGUGAGACGUAAAUUUAAACUCAUUCCUGUGGAUUUACUGAGGUCGUGAUUGCCGUACAGAGUAUUUAUCUCCAGUGCCUAAAACUUUCCAAAACAAAGCUCUUUUCUUUUUAAAAUGCCGGUCAGAUUUUUUUUUUUUUUUUUUGAAUUAGUUCAAUUCAAAUGCAGUCAGGCAGGACAGAACCGAACGAAUGAUUCAGAAAGUCACUAACUCCAAUGGAGAAACUACCUUUCAAAACCUCCAUGUGGACCAGACUUAAAUGACACUGUAACAGUUACCAGGUAGAGUCACCAUUCAUUUGGGCAAACGGCAGUGGGAAGGUUCCAUGAGCUAAGUGAGGACCUACCUGUUUGUUCUAGAGCAGAUUUUCUGCCAAGAAGAAUUUUCCUGGCUGCUUGUAUUCCCUGUGCCUGCCUAGAGCACAGGGGCUUGGCUUAGUUAUUCACACCUUAGAGGCACUGUUGUUCCUACUCCAGAAUAAAAGCGGUCUCUUGCUUCACACCCUGUGAUAUAUUCCAACACCCUGUGUAGGAACAAGAAACACCCCUGGCACCAACAGCUGAUGGAGCUGCUGUGUAACGCUUAGAACACUCGCUUAGGUCUGCCCUAUAUAUUAUGGAGACCUAAAUGUUUGCUAAAAUAAAAGAGGCUCAGUGACGCACUAAAAGGACCUCAUCUCGUAUAUACGUUGGGAAUUCUUUUGUCUUUAUUUCAUACUUUUCCUUUUUUUCUGCCGUUUGAAAGCCAGCUCUCUGUUACAGCCACUGCCCCCUCCUGUGGAUGUAACGGCCCUUUGAUUUGAAGGAAUACUUGUCUGUAGCUUCUUUGUGUUGUACUUAAGCUGAUAUAAAAUAAGAAUGACAAAGAUGGAGUUCCUGGCGUGGCUCAGUGGUUAACGAAUCUGACUAGGAACCAUGAGGUUGCGGGUUCAGUCCCUGGCCUUGCUCAGUGGGUUAAGGAUCCGGCGUUGCCGUGAGCUGUGGUGUAGGCCUGGGACUACAGCUCGGAUUCGACCCCUAGCCUGGGAACCUCCAUAUGCCGUGGGAGUCGCCCUAGAAAAGGC